UUCUUAUAAUUUUCACAUUUAUUCUUCUAGGUUUACCUUGACUUUAUGAUGGACAUGUUUAACAUGAUGAGACUUGAUACUUAUCAUUUCAUGGUUGACGUAAAGGGAUGUAGUUUUAGACGCUACGACCAUUGAAGAGAUGAGUGAAUAUAAAUCUCCAAAAAUGCCUACAGUUAAAUGAAAAAGAUAAAAAGAUGGAGCACAUCGAAGUUGAGAGAUGAGAACUGCAAUAUCUUUCUAAGAGAGUAGAUUUUGAGGUUACUCAAAAUCUUUCACUGCCUAAGGAGAGUUCUAUGGAAGUUAAGUACAUUGGGGAACAUAAGUCAAUAAUUCAGUCUAGUAAUGUUCUACUCAAGGAUGAAAUUAAAACACAGUGAUCAAUAUGUUGAUUUUUUCGUCACACUAGGAUUUCAAACUUCUAAACAAUUGUGUGUUUCCGUUAUGUUUACUAAUUAAGAAAACAAUUGAGCAUAGAGUUUGUUAAAUUUUUGUAAGGAAGCUCAAAGAUCAAUUUUUUUACUUCAUUAGUCACUUCAAAGCUCGUGGACGAGUUUUCUCUAAUCUGGGAAAAAUGACGCAGAAUGAUUACCUCGAUUGCCUUAAUAAGUUAUAAACC
rnacentral:lncRNA from 1 species